CAAAUGAUAACCAAAUGGCCUAAGUAGCUAAAAUCAUAAAGCUAUUUUAAGCCAAGUCAAUGGUAUGUAUAAAGUUAAUAUAAAAUAAUUAUACUGGUUCACAUUUGUUUUGCACCUACUAGAAAUGUGCCAAAACACUAAGAUUUAAGAAAGAAUGAGAUCCUUGGGCAAAGGGGGAAGAGGAGUCAUAUAAUAAAAAAUUAUUAGAAAAACACCAUAGGUAAAAAGAAAUAAGCCUACAAUUUAACCAAAUCAAGAAGGAAAGGGGAGUACAUGGUUAGGGUUGAUGUCAUUCAUGAAAAUACAUUUACCAUUCCACCACAAACUUGUUCACUGCAAGAGCUCAGCAUCAGGCUCUCCCAUUAACUUUAAAUAUAUUUUUGGCCCAUUAACUUUCUUUACAUGGAACAGAAACCCACAUUUAUGACAACAGAACACUACACUGCUAUUUAAUCUGAUAACAAACAAUAG